UGUUAAAAAAAAUUAUCAAUUUCUAUUGUUAAAAAUCGGUAUUACUAAUGGAAUAAUCAAAACGUGCUACAUAUAUCUCAUGUUAAUAUACAUAGACCAAUUUAUAACAGUAAAAAUAGAUGAAAUUUUUAAUA
rnacentral:pre_miRNA from 1 species